AGAGUUUGAUCAUGGCUCAGGAUUAACGCUGGCGGCGUGCCUAACACAUGCAAGUCGAACGGAAUAUCUUCGGAUAUUUAGUGGCGAACGGGUGAGUAAUGUACAGGUAAUGUACCUUCGUACUGCGAAUAACAAGCUGAAAAGUUUGCUAAUACGGAAUAGUUUCCUUCGGGGGCAUCCUUAAAGGAAUAAAGAUUUAUCGUGCGGAGAUCAGCCUGUAUCCUAUUAGUUAGUUGGUGGGGUAAUGGCCUACCAAGACGACGAUGGGUAACUGGUCUGAGAGGAUGAGCAGUCACAUUGGAACUGAGAAACGGUCCAAACUCCUACGGGAGGCAGCAGUGAGGAAUUUUGCGCAAUGGGGGAAACCCUGACGCCAGCAACGCCGCGUGAGUGAUGACGGCCUUCGGGUUGUAAAGCUCUGUCGUGUGUGACGAGUAGGGACGGUAACACACAAGGAAGCCUCGGCUAACUACGUGCCAGCCGCCGC
rnacentral:rRNA from 1 species